rnacentral:rRNA from 1 species
GAGACACGGACCAGACUCCUACGGGAGGCAGCAGUGAGGAAUAUUGGUCAAUGGCCGGGAGGCUGAACCAGCCAAGUCGCGUGAGGGAGGACGGCCCUACGGGUUGUAAACCUCUUUUGUCAGGGAGCAAGAGGCGGGUCGAGACCUGCUGUGAGAGUACCUGAAGAAAAAGCAUCGGCUAACUCCGUGCCAGCAGCCGCGGUAAUACGGAGGAUGCGAGCGUUAUCCGGAUUUAUUGGGUUUAAAGGGUGCGCAGGCGGAGGCACAAGUCAGCGGUAAAAUCGCGGGGCUCAACCCCGCUCCGCCGUUGAAACUGUGUCCCUUGAGUGCGCGAAGGGUAGGCGGAAUGCGUGGUGUAGCGGUGAAAUGCAUAGAUAUCACGCAGAACUCCGAUCGCGAAGGCAGCCUACCGGCGCGCAACUGACGCUCAUGCACGAAAGCGUGGGUAUCGAACAGGAUUAGAUACCCUGGUAGUGCACGCAGUAAACGAUGAAUGCUAUCUGUCCGGCCGGAAUGACGGCUGG